UUGAAAGGGAAACGAUUGAAGUCAGUCGUGCUGGCGCGAAAUCAACCUUCUCGUCUCGAGAUCACAUGGCGUGGCGAGCCUCAAAACCGUCACGAAGCGUGAACUCUUGGUGAAAUGGAGCACUUUCGUGUCCGCUGGUUAACAUCAAUUUCGAACGUCAUAAAAAGGCUGGAGGGAUGUGGCUCCUUCGGGAGUGUUAUAACCUUUAGCGGAAUGUGGUGUUCGGGAUUGAGGAUUGCAACGAAUACCUUUAGGGCUGUUCCACCUGGCUUCUCUUUGGUAUCCUGGUGACGACGGCUUGCUGACGUCGUUAGGAUUCGCCUUUGAACAGGCUAGAGUGUGAGCAAAUUCGUUAAGGAUGUUGACGUA
rnacentral:rRNA from 1 species